AGAUGGCGACCGGCGCACGGGUGAGUAACACGUAUCCAACCUGCCGAUAACUCGGGGAUAGCCUUUCGAAAGAAAGAUUAAUACCCGAUGGUAUAAUUAGACCGCAUGGUCUUAUUAUUAAAGAAUUUCGGUUAUCGAUGGGGAUGCGUUCCAUUAGGCAGUUGGUGAGGUAACGGCUCACCAAACCUUCGAUGGAUAGGGGUUCUGAGAGGAAGGUCCCCCACAUUGGAACUGAGACACGGUCCAA
rnacentral:rRNA from 1 species